rnacentral:rRNA from 1 species
UACGAAGGGGGCUAGCGUUGCUCGGAAUUACUGGGCGUAAAGCGCACGUAGGCGGACGAUUAAGUCAGGGGUGAAAUCCCGGGGCUCAACCCCGGAACUGCCUUUGAUACUGGUAGUCUCGAGUCCGGAAGAGGUGAGUGGAAUUCCGAGUGUAGAGGUGAAAUUCGUAGAUAUCGGGAGGAACACCAGUGGCGAAGGCGGCGAUCUGGGCUGAUACUGACGCUGAGGUGCGAAAGCCGGGGGAGCAAACAGG